UAGGGCUUAUUGGAUCUAAA
rnacentral:snRNA from 1 species